rnacentral:rRNA from 1 species
GAUGAACGCUGGCGGCGUGCCUAAUACAUGCAAGUCGAACGCGCAGCGAAAGGUGCUUGCACCUUUCAAGCGAGUGGCGAACGGGUGAGUAACACGUGGAUAACCUGCCUCAAGGCUGGGGAUAACAUUUGGAAACAGAUGCUAAUACCGAAUAAAACUUAGUAUCGCAUGAUACAAAGUUAAAAGGCGCUACGGCGUCCCCUAGAGAUGGAUACGCGGUGCAUUAGUUAGUUGGUGGGGUAACGGCUUACCAAGACGAUGAUGCAUAGCCGAGUUGAGAGACUGAUGUGCCACAUUGGGACUGAGACACGGCCCAAACUCCUACGGGAGGCUGCAGUAGGGAAUCUUCCACAAUGGGCGCAAGCCUGAUGGAGCAACUCCGCGUGUGUGAUGAAGGCUUUAGGGUCUUAAAGCACUGUUGUAUGGGAAGAAAUGCUAAAAUAGGGAAUGAUUUUAGUUUGACGGUACCAUACCAGAAAGGGACGGCUAAAUACGUGCCAGCCGCCGCUGUAA